rnacentral:rRNA from 1 species
GAUGAACGCUAGCUACAGGCUUAACACAUGCAAGUCGAGGGGCAGCAUUAUCGAAGCUUGCUUUGAUAGAUGGCGACCGGCGCACGGGUGAGUAACGCGUAUCCAACCUUCCCCAUAGUCAGGAAUAGCCCGGCGAAAGUCGAAUUAAUGCCUGAUGUUUUCCACGGACGGCAUCUGAUGUGGAACAAAGAUUCAUCGCUAUGGGAUGGGGAUGCGUCUGAUUAGCUUGUUGGCGGGGUAACGGCCCACCAAGGCAUCGAUCGGUAGGGGUUCUGAGAGGAAGGUCCCCCACAUUGGAACUGAGACACGGUCCAAACUCCUACGGGAGGCAGCAGUGAGGAAUAUUGGUCAAAUGGGCGAGAGCCUGAACCAGCCAAGUAGCGUGCAGGAUGACGGCCCUAUGGGUUGUAAACUGCUUUUUAUGCGGGGAUAAAGCGGGCCACGUGUGGCCCCCUUGCAGGUAUCGCAUGAAUAAGGACCGGCU